rnacentral:rRNA from 1 species
GAUGAACGCUAGCGGCAGGCCUAACACAUGCAAGUCGAGGGAGAAGCCCUUUCGGGGGCAGAAACCGGCGCACGGGUGCGUAACGCGUAUGCAACCUACCUUUCACAGGGGGAUAGCCCGAAGAAAUUUGGAUUAAUACCCCAUAAUAUUAUUGGAUGGCAUCAUUUGAUAAUUAAAACUGCGGUGGUGAAAGAUGGGCAUGCGUCCUAUUAGCUAGUUGGAGUGGUGACGGCACCCCAAGGCUACGAUAGGUAGGGGUCCUGAGAGGGAGAUCCCCCACACUGGUACUGAGACAGGGACCAGACUCCUACGGGAGGCAGCAGUGAGGAAUAUUGGUAAAUGGUCGGAAGACUGAACCAGCCAUGCCGCGUGCAGGAAGAAUGCCUUAUGGGUUGUAAACUGCUUUUAUAUGGGAAGAAUAAGGUGUACGUGUACAUUGAUGACGGUACCAUAUGAAUAAGCAUCGGCUAACUCCGUG